UUUGAAGCUCAGGCAAACCAUGCAGACCCACAUCUUGUUCCGGACGGUCCUCGCCUCAUGAGACUACGGAUGGAGGGUGAGUGUGGCUGACCAUGUGGGCCGAGGGGCUGGGGGGCUGGCCCCUCCGCGAGGCAGACUCGGGGCUGCUGGAUGCACCGUCCUUGGCUGCCUUGAUCUGAAGCCAGGUGUCACCCAAGGCUUUGGCAAAGUGGUCGUCCACAGAGCCGGUGAUGGACACCGAGUUGGGUGCUGGCUCAGGCUCCUUGUAGUUCUUGCCGAGGCUCCUGCGGAAAUGCUCCUCCACCACGGGGUCGCAGGUGGUAGUGGCUAUAGGAGAAGCAGGAGGAGGGCGGUCAGGGGCAUCGCUGUCUGGAGCCCUGAGCCCAGGUAGAUGCAAAUUGGGCCCCUGUGCAGCACUGCAGUGGCUCUCCACCACCAGGGAGUCUUCAGCAACAAGACACUAGGGUCUUGGCAGGCAGGGGCUAGAGAAGCUGCAAGGGUCAGUGGGCUCUGGGGACAGAGGACCUGUUCCAUCCCAUCUGAGCUGGACACUUGGGCAGGUACCUUCACUUGGUCUGGAAAAGGGUGAUGUACCAGCCGCACCGGGCUGAGGUAAGAAUUCAGAAAUAAGGGGGCAUGACAGCAGUGGUAGAUGGAUCAGAUCUAUUACUAUUUUUAAGUACUAUGUAUUAACACAGUAUCUCCCCACCAGCUAGAUUAGGGGUUCUGGUUAUCAGGGACCACUGUCUCUUUCCCAUUUGCCACCCAAGUCAAGCACAAUGUUAGGUAUGUAUGUGCUCAAAAAAUUACUCUCUGCAACCUCAAUAAUACUAUCUGGGGCCAGUUAUUCAAGUGGAUUCAGAGUCCACUGGGAGCCCCGCAGGUUAGGCAUAGGCACCGAUGGGGAGACUUACUGCUCGGCGGCCUCCUGUAGCUGCCCGGCCCGGCCCCGCAGCCGCUGUGGGCGAUGGGACAGUGGGACAGGUUGCAGUUGCGGUUGCUGGCGGAGGCACACGUGAUGACCGAGGGCCGGUUCUGGGGAGAGAGAGGGAGCAGGGCCAGCGUUAGUACGGCUGGAAGAGGCAGACAAGCAGGGGUCACUGUGGAAAGCUCAGCACCAAGGCCCGAGGGCUGGCUGAGCCCAGCUCCCUCCCUCAUCUGGCUAAAUGAAAACUCUGGGGCAGCCUGUCCUGGUGCCAUUCCUGACCAAAGGCAAAGUCAAGUCCAGUCCACGUGCAGACUUGACUUCAAGACUGGAAUCCGGAGUGACACCAGCUGUGUAGGUGCUGUGGGAAAGUCACGUACGUGUGAGGGCUCUGUCCUUCUCUAAGAAGUGACCCUUGGUCCUGGCUCUCUGGAUCAGAGUCACACAGUCUGGGUGUUUAGUAUUGGUCAGUCCUUCUCUCCCUCACCCCCUUGAGUCUGGCUUGAGAUAAACACUGGGAGUUGGGAAACUAGUCACGUAAAUGGCACCGGGUUGCACAGAGGACCAUGCGCUCCUACAGCUCAGGUCCCAGGGCUGCCCUGGUCACUGCCCUUUUCAAGGCUGGUGGUUCAGUGUGCACCUGGGUUCCGUGAGCGAACCUAGAACCCUUCCAGGAAACAUGCCUUUUUGGCAUGAAGCCAAAGCCAGAUGAGUUGGUUUCUGUUAUGACCAUACAAACUGUGAUGGAGACAGAACUGGGUGAAAUAGACAGAAGCAUAAAAAUUACAUGUAUGCCAGCCUCAUCCAACCUGCUCUGCUAACAAAUCUCUCUCUCUCUCUGUCUCUCUCCUUUCCUUAGAAGCCCCUGAACUUGUCUACUUGCAAACUCCGCUCAUCCUUUGAAAUCCUGUUUGGUUAUGGUUUUGAUGAAGCCUUUUAUAACACAGCUGCCUUCUUCCCUUUAACUCCUGCUUCCCCACCGCCCCCCCAGGCUUCAAGCGAACUGGCCCCUCUGGGGCUCCCACAGAGUCACCCAGCACCUGUCUGCUGCUCUGGACCAGGAAAUGGGAACAAUGGCACUUGAAAAGCGGCCUGGAGGACAGACUGAGGUGACCCGGGAGGACCGUGGCCAAGGCACAGUAAGAGUUCUUGCUCCUCUGGGCUGGUCACACACACUGGAGAAGAGGGGGGCAGCCUGGAGAACCACCUUCUGUGGGGUCUCUAUCCCAGAAGCCCAGGGUCUUCCCUCCAGGCAGCCAUGCUCAUAAAGCCAGACCUUCCCCUUCUAGCCAGGCUGAGGGAGCCAGGGCAGGACCCUGGCCCAGACCCGGCCACUUGACCACUGAGCCAGGAAGAGACACACACAGGGUGAGCCCAAGGUGGUCUCAAGCAGCUCUCGGGAGCAGUGGGACGGCCACCCUGGGCUGGCCAGGUGGAGAGACCCAGGCAGGCGCAGAGCCCGAGUGAGAGAGGGCCCCACCCUUCCUUCCUGAGCCUGGCUGCACCCUUGACCUUGGGUUCUGGGAGCUGCCCAGGGUCCUCCCAGUGAAACUCCCUUCCUUUUGUGCUUAAUGCACUGCACAGUGGUUUCUGUUCUUUGCCACUAGAGUCCUGGCCAGCACAAAUGGGACAUGGGAACUUGGGAGCUGGGGUGUGUGGAAGCUGAAGAAAUACAACUCAUGGAAUAAACUUAGAGAGGCUUAGAGGAGAGUAAACUCAAUGUACAGCCUUUUCAGUCAGUGCCCACCUCUAGGACAUGUAAAGAAGAUUCCAUCAUCACAUCUGAUAUCAAUCACUGGGAUACCUCCUGACUUAAGAGUAAGUGAAAUGAAGUGUCCUCCUAUGAGGACCCACAGAUGUGCAAAUGUUCAGGCUUUGGGGCUCUCUGUCUCCUCCCAACCCAGGCAGUGGGGUGGGCCGACUGAGCUCUCCCUGGAUGCUCAAAACCACCCCAUCUCAUCCCUAACACAGAGUGCAAGGUUGGAUUCUCCAAGCGUCCACCUGAAACACCUCACACUUCCAGGUGGGAAAAAGGAAAGCUACACAGCAAACUAGUGGCAGGGCCGGGGGGAGAAUCUGGCUGUCCCCCACGAUUCCCUCAGACACCAAGCCCAUGCUGCCCAAGGGAGGGGGCUCCAGAGUGAAAACGAUCCCUGGUGCUCACUGUCCCUUGGGUUUUCACUGUUUAUCUCUCAUUUGCUGCAGCCCUCCAGGCCACCCCCCUGGUGUCUUCUGUACCUUUCUUAAUACUCUACAACCUCACAGCUGCGAUCGCAGAGACAUGAAAUGGGGUGACACUUGCAGCAGCCUCCCAGGCAGCCUCUCUGGGAAGUUUCCGGUCCCAGUUCCCAAGCUCUGACUCACAGUUUCCCUCAUCUGCCUGCAGAGCUGCAGCCUGCUGCUGCAGAGCUCUGGGUGUUCCUGGAAACCCCCUCCUCACCAUCACUUCCCUUACAGCAGCAGGCCAAGAAAUGAAACUCCUGGAAAUGGGCAGAUGCCUCCAAGCUACUGCAGGCCAGGGACCAUGUCCUAUUCACCUUGUGUCCCCAGCACUGGACCUGGCACGGAACUCAGUAAAUGUUUGGAUAAUCAAAGCAGGAGCUGGGAGUGCAGUCUACCUCUAGGCCAUGCCAGGCCGACCCAGGAAAGAGCUCGAUGGACAGCCACGGAUGAAGGCAGCAGGCCCUCUUCUGAAGAGCCCACAGGCUCAUUCGGUCUUCCCGACAAGACUAAGGAGGAGAUGCCCUGAUGAGCCCCUCUCCAGGGGUUAUGGUCACGAGCACCAAUUAUCACCGAACUAUAGAGGCGAGGACUGCGGGCCAGUUGCAUCUGAGACAGACUGAAAUGGUGUUUAUCCCUGAAGUCAGACUCAUCAACAUAAGAAAGGACCGUGUGGUCACAGCUCUUUUUCCUGGUUCCCGGAGCUUCAAGGCAGACAUUGUUUUCCACGUUUCUCCCAGUGAAUCAUACAACCAAGGCCCCUCUCUUACCAGAGGCAUCAUGUGCUUUUGUGGACGGCUGGCCCAAACCACACGCAUCCUGCCUCAGAGACACAAGCCGGCUCCACUCUUGCUGAAGACUGAGUGUGCUCACUGAAAGCAAAGCUUUGACCCUGAGCCGGGCAGCCUAGAGGGCUGCCAGGUAGCUCCAUGCCAAUCCCAAAGGAUCCCCCCUGUCCUGGGAACUCAGGCUCAUCCUCAAGAGGCAGCUUCACCCUCAACUGCGGGAGAAGAGGAAAAUGUAAAGGAAGGAAAACUGACACAGAGGUGCCCUAUUAUUCCUUCCUGCAGGACACCGUUUUCUGAUGAAUGGGUGCCAUAUAUGCUUCUAUUCCCUCCCUGAGCUGGGAAGCCAGAAACGUCUACAAGUGUUUGGCAAAACAUAAUCUGGAGUCUAAGCAGUAAAAAUGUCAAAGAGCUCAUCACGUGAAAAACAACCAACGUACUCAUAUGUAAUACUCAUUAAAAUGAGAUUCUCCCACCCUUCAAUAAACAGGAGCUUAGAGUUGAGAACAAACUUGUAGGAAUGUAUUUCUUGGCUUUUAAUUGUGGUAACCUAUAAGCAACAUAACAUUUCCCAUUUUAACCACUUUCAAGUACACAAUUCAGUGGCAUUAAUUACAUUCACAAUCCUCUAUCACCACCAUCUACUGCCAAAACAUUUCCAACCCCCCAAAGAAAAACACUGCACCCAUCAAGGAGUAACUCCCUUGCUAACCUCUGACCUGCUUUCUGUCUCUAUGUACGUAAUUUGCUUAUUCUAGAUAUGUUCUAUCAGUGAGACUGUACAGCAACUGUCCUCUGGUGUCUUAUUUCACUCCUGUGAUGCCUUUUGAGGUUCAUCCAUCCAUGUUACUUGACAUUCUUGAGUCCUGACUGACCUUCAUUAACUACUGAUGGCUAUUAACAAAACUGAUCUGAACUCAUGAUGGGGAAGGGGAUUUGGGUAUAAGACCAGGUGUUUGAGUUCACACUUUGGAAGAAAUACUCUAGGCUCACCUGGGGUGUCUUGCUGUAGGCAUUUAGACUCAGUGGCAUGGAAGGUCCUUUGGCUCAGGUAAAGGAGGCCAGGUGCAGCCCAGCUCUGUAUCAGCCCACAGUUUACAGAACACCCCUGAGGUGGCAGAGAGACCCUUCCUGAAGCCAGGCCACCCCUGGCAGAGGGGAACUGAAGGCCUGGGGGGCACCUGUGAGGCACGAUGGUUGAGGGUUUAACAGGUGUUCCCAGGGACAGCGGCACCUGGAGCAGUGGCAAAGCCAAGUGGGAAGGGGGCCAGUGAGGAUCAGGGCCAAGGAAAGAGCCCACUCUGCAGCUCAGUUCUCCCCCUCUCUCUCAUUUCAUUAGUUACACAACUCUUUGCCCUCUGGGAACUUAGAACAAACCUUCACACACUCUAAAUACUACUACUCAUAAAGUCACUGAAGCAUCUUUAACUUUAAAAAGCUUCCUCAAAACUGUUACUUUCCGCCGCCUCAGGUUUAUGAUGUGGGUCGUGUAGGUGGCACUAUCCCAGUUUUACAGAAAGGACAACCAAGGCAAGGAGAUAAACACCUGGCCUAAGACCUACAUGGUCCAGGACACCAAAGCGUUCUCACAGCAGGCACAUGCGAGCUCAAGUCACCAGGCUCCAGGCCGCCUCCCAUGAGCCCCGAUGACCGCCCAAACCCCAGUGUAAGCCAGGUAUGCACAAAAGUAGACGCACAAAAACGCACAGGCCUCCAGGUACAUCCCUAACCAGUUACACCCUGCCUUACUUUCUUAACUAGUAAACUUAACUGCUUCCUAUGGGUGUGUCCAGUCUUCUCAGCUACAUCCUAAACUCUUUGGGGAACAGACAGCAUGACUUCCACGUCUCAGUAGUCUCUGACUCGGGCCUGCGUACAUAACAGAUGUUUCAAUAACUACCUGCUGAAUAAGUGAAUUAUUAAAGUGCACAUAUUAUAUGAGUCCAGUUAAUAGC